AUAAGUUCCCCGAGGCCAUAUAUGUAAUGGCAGAGCACAGAUUUGAACUAAAUUAGUCUGAGUGUAGAGCUUAUAUGAUUCAGCUCUACACAUGACAAUUAAUGCUGAGGUGUAAACGAAUGCUCCUAGCUUAGUGUGCCAUCCUUUCUGGUCAGAUCUGGAUUUUAUGAUGAUUCCCAUAUAUGGUAUUUCUAGAUUCUAGAACCGGGGGAGGGUAUCCAAGAGGCACCCAGGCCUUUCAUAAUAACCCUCCAGACAUAUCGUUAGAUUGCGUCUUCCUUUCUUUCUUCUAUUACUUCGUUAAUUGUCAAAUGACUUGCUUUUAUUUUAUUUAUGGCAGCAUUGCUUUCAUCUAUACAACAACUCUUUCUGCUUCUGAAUUUCUAACUUAAGAUGAAGCUGGUAUUUCAGAAUUAGGGAGGAUGUUGUUGCUAGAUAGACAAAUUUGCUAGCCGUCAUUUAAUAUAUCUGUGUUUUCUCAGCCCUAUUGGCCUCAUAGAAGAAAGCAGAGACUUACCGAUAGUCACCAGGGAUGCACACUAAGUUUGAAGAGAUUUAUCCUGGAAAUUAAUAAUGACCUCAUAUUGCAGAUGAGAGCUCUGAAGCUAGAGAGGUGUGUAAUUAUAGAAACUCCUUGAGGCAAAAAUCAAGUUUUCAGCUGCUUAUGGCGACUGCUUAUGGAUCAAUAAAUUCUGGCUCAAAAGAUCUGCUUGGACAUCAUGAUAACAUGGGGACGUUGCCAAGAAGUGCAAUUCAGCCAUCAAAACUUGGGUAUAAGGAGAAGAGAAUGUGCCGAGUGGGUAUUCCCAAGUGUUAGAUUGGAUUGGAUUCUAAUUUACUAGUGGUUCCAUUGUGUUUGUGAAAAGUACAAAUUCCUGAAUUAUUGUCUCAGAAAUUAUAUUUCAUAGGUCUGAGGUAAGGCUUUGGAAUCUGCAUUUUAGCAAGCUUCCUGGGUGGUUCUGAUGAAGUGGUUCUUAGCACUAUAAUUAGUUGCUUAUUAGCUAACACUGUUAGCUAUCAUGCAUAUUAUUUAUUAGACUAUUGGUUGGUUAUUAGCCAACACUAUUGCUCUGAGAAUUUUAAGGGACAUAGGCUGGCAGAUAGCCCAGAGCACUGACAGCACAAUUUGGAGCCAGUACUACUAAGGGAAUUCAAAUAAGUGAAAAAUACCUUAUAGGCAAGAAAAGUGUGGAAUGAAUUAGAAAGUUUUUAUUUUUUUUUCCCAAAGCUAUUCAAAGGGUGGAAUAAUGACCUGCUAAAGUGAAAAUUAGGUCGUGAAAUUUCGCCAAGGCAUGGAUUAUUUUAGGGGGAUGGUUAUUGGGGCUCCUGGGUGGCUCAG